rnacentral:rRNA from 1 species
UAGGGAAUCUUCCGCAAUGGACGAAAGUCUGACGGAGCAACGCCGCGUGAGUGAAGAAGGAUUUCGGUUCGUAAAACUCUGUUGUUAGGGAAGAAAAAAUGUAUAGUAACUAUAUACAAAAGAGACGGUACCUAACCAGAAAGCCACGGCUAACUACGUGCCAGCAGCCGCGGUAAUACGUAGGUGGCAAGCGUUGUCCGGAAUUAUUGGGCGUAAAGCGCGCGCAGGUGGUUUAGAAAGUCUGAUGUGAAAGCCCACGGCUCAACCGUGGAGGGUCAUUGGAAACUAAUAAACUUGAGUGCAGGAGAGAAAAGUGGAAUUCCUAGUGUAGCGGUGAAAUGCGUAGAGAUUAGGAGGAACACCGGUGGCGAAAGCGGCUUUUUGGCCUGCAACUGACACUGAGGCGCGAAAGCGUGGGUAGCAAACAGG